UACGGAGGGUGCAAGCGUUAUCCGGAUUCACUGGGUUUAAAGGGUGCGUAGGCGGCCUACUAAGUCAGACGUGAAAUCCCCAGGCUUAACUUGGGAACUGCGUCUGAUACUGGAAGGCUUGAGUGCGGGAGAGGGAUGUGGAAUUCCAGGUGUAGCGGUGAAAUGCGUAGAUAUCUGGAGGAACACCGGUGGCGAAGGCGGCAUCCUGGACCGACACUGACGCUGAGGCGCGAAAGCUAGGGGAGCAAACGGG
rnacentral:rRNA from 1 species